CAAACAUGGGAACUAUAUAAACCCACGCAUCCAUCCAUCCAUCAUAGGGUUUCUCUUCUUCACACGCCGCCAUAACCUCAACAAUAAAAAGAUAUAUGUUUUCCUGCUAUCUGUAAUUCUACAUUCAUAUAUACCUCAAAUAAAACAUUUUAUUGGAGAGGCGGUUGAAAUACCUUCGCUGGGUAUUCAUGUCAUUCAUCGAUUAUAAAAAGUACUUGUACAGGUAUUCGUGUUCUAAAGUGAAGUCCAAUUUUUUAUUUUUUAUUUUCCUAAAGUAAGAUUAUACUUUAAAUAUUACUGUCAUUUAGUUUGUUAAUAAGGAUUGCAAGGUAUUGUCACAUUGUUUUCGAUGUUUCAUACUGUAUUUGUUAAGAUACCACAUGACGACUGAAUAAUACGACAAAAGCAAAGAUAACGGUAAAGUAGACAAAAUCCAUUCUCCGGAUGAUCAAGAUGACAACUUUAAGCUUCAUUUGUCUCCUAUAGUUGGUUAUUUAAAACCUGGAGAUCUUUGCAUAACUUAUAGAGGCCGGGAUCGAGCACCAUCUGAUCUGGAUAGAUCAAGGCUAUGCGUGUGUUUACCUGGAAAGUUGUUCUGUAAGUUGUUGCUCUGUGAAAUGGUAAGAUUUGGUGACACGUGUAAUCUAUGUUCUUGUAAUCGUGUAGUUUACGUGGUGAGGAACCCUACGCCCAUCACUGGCCGGGAGCAUCUCGUUUUGGUCAUACUUGUAUAGUUAGAAGUUUUGUGGUUAAGUUAAUUAUAGCAUUAUUGAUUGGUUUUCUCUGCUUCUGAUGUUUCAACUGCUUGUUUACAGCAUAUUGUAUUUCUAUUCAAAAAACCAAAUACUCAUACUAUUUAUGAAUUAUGAUAGAACUUUUAAGAUACAAUUCUGAUAAA